GGAAAAUAGGAAUUCAAAGCUGCAGGUAAAGGCGGCUAUUUACACUUAGUAAUUUGAUGUAAUGUUUCCCGAGAUUGGAUAUUAACCCUUUUAUGCUAGGAGUUAGGUAAGUCUACAAUCAUGAAAAUAGUAAAUAAACCAGAACUGACUCUUUUCUGGAUGUAAUAGUUCUUUGUUCCCCAAUGCCAACAAAUGUUAUUGUAACAUUUACUUUGGUGGACAAAGCAG